rnacentral:rRNA from 1 species
CCUACGGGUGGCAGCAGUGAGGAAUAUUGGUCAAUGGGCGCGAGCCUGAACCAGCCAAGUCGCGUGAGGGAGGACGGCCCUACGGGUUGUAAACCUCUUUUGCCGGGGAGCAACGGGCGUCACGUGUGGCGCCACUGAGAGUACCCGGAGAAAAAGCAUCGGCUAACUCCGUGCCAGCAGCCGCGGUAAUACCGGGGGUGCGAGCGGUAUCCGGAUUUAUGGGGGUUAAAGGGGGCGUAGGGGGUCUGUUAAGUCCGCGGGCAAAGCCCGGGGCUCAACCCCGGUCCGCCGUUGAAACUGGCAGUCUCGAGUUGGGGAGAAGUAUGCGGAAUGCGCGGUGUAGCGGUGAAAUGCAUAGAUAUCGCGCAGAACUCCGAUUGCGAAGGCAGCAUGCCGGCUCCACACUGACGCUGAGGCACGAAAGCGUGGGUAUCGAACAGGAUUAGAUACCCCUGUAGUC